AACGCACAUUGCGCCCUCUGGAAUUCCGGAGGGCACGCCUGUCCGAGCGUCGUCACGCCAGUCAAGCCCCCGGGCUUGGUGUUGGGGGUAAGGUCGGAGCCUUUGCGCCCCGACCCCCCCGCAAAGCGUUGGCGGAGCCCCUGGAGCCCCGGUCGCAGCAAGAUACGUUUCGACCCGGUGUUUCCUGGUGGCCCCUCGCCCCCUCGAACCACAUCUUCAACGUUCGACCUCGGAUCAGGCGGGAGUACCCGCUGAACUUAA
rnacentral:misc_RNA from 1 species